GAUGAACGCUAGCGGCAGGCUUAACACAUGCAAGUCGAGGGGUAGAGGCUUUCGGGCCUUGAGACCGGCGCACGGGUGCGUAACGCGUAUGCAAUCUGCCUUGUACUGGGGGAUAGCCCAGAGAAAUUUGGAUUAAUACCCCAUAGUAUUUUCGGUUGGCAUCAACUGAUUAUUAAAGUUUUUCGGUACAAGAUGAGCAUGCGUCCCAUUAGCUAGUUGGUAUGGUAACGGCAUACCAAGGCUACGAUGGGUAGGGGUCCUGAGAGGGAGAUCCCCCACACUGGUACUGAGACACGGAGCAGACUCCUACGGGAGGCAGCAGUGAGGAAUAUUGGUCAAUGGUCGCAAGACUGAACCAGCCAUGCCGCGUGCAGGAUGAAGCAUCUAUGGUGUGUAAACUGCUUUUGUACGGUAAGAAACACUCCUACGUGUAGGAGCUUGACGGUACCGUAAGAAUAAGGAUCGGCUAACUCCGUGCCAGCCGCCGCCGUAAUAC
rnacentral:rRNA from 1 species